rnacentral:lncRNA from 1 species
CCCAAAUCUAACUGCCAUGCUUUGACACCACUUUUGUUUAUAUUUGUGUGCCCUGUCAAUCACUACACAUUCAACACUGCUUAAAGAUGUAAUUCUCUGCUUCUCAGCCACUGUGUUUGUUUUUUAAUUAUCUCUCCUAUCCCAGCCUCUCUGAACAUGAUUGCAUAGCCAACAGCUGCCACACUCAUCUUCCAUUGAGAAGCCCUGACUCAUACCACACCCCUGCUUCCAUCCAUCAGCCCUGAGUCAUACCACACCCCUGCUUCCAUUGAGAAGCCCUGAGUCAUACCACAUGCCUGCUGACAAGCUUUCAGGGGGUUCUAUUUCUAUCGAAGAAAGACAGCACCAAAAGGCGUCCAUGGUCUUGUCCUCACAUCACCUCUACCAGUUUGAUCUCUCAUGUCAUGCUUGAGCCCAGACACAAGGUUUCUCCUAGCCAAACUGGCCAGCCCAUCCAUCAAGGACUGCUUGUGUGCUCCUGUCCUAUUGCAUACUCAGCCUGUUUCUCCACAUGUGAGGUCCAUCCUCUUCCCAGCCUUCUCACUACUUGGCAUUCACUAUACCACUUCCCUCAGAAGUGUUUCUAAGAGAUCAUAUGCAAAUGAGAAGGGAGAAGUUUGGAAGGAAAGUUACAGCUCUUCGCUCUUUGUAGCAUCUGGAUUGGGAUACUGA